rnacentral:rRNA from 1 species
AUGCAUUCACACAUGCCUACAAUUCAGCCAUGCAAAUGGUUAUGGAAGAGCAGAUGCACAAUGAAAAUUAAGGUCUUUGGCUGGCUGUUGUUUUUUGAUAGACUCAACACUAAGGAUAUGUUGGUAAGAAGGCACUGGAGAUCACCAAAUGAUGAUAAUCUUUGUGUUAUAUGUAAUGCAUAUGUUCAUGAACAUAGGACACACCUGUUUUUUCAGUGUAACUUUAGCUGCAGGGUUUGGGAUUAUCUUCGAAUUGAUUGGACACAGGGGUCUGAUAUCCAACAAUGCAUAUUUCAAUCCAAAACCAGUUUUGGGCAUCCUUUCUUCUUUGAGGUGAUGCUCACAGCAGCAUGGAACAUCUGGAUCUUAAGGAAUGGAAAGAUCUUCAGAGGGGAGCAAGCUCGUUUUGCUGCCUGGAAAUGUAAAUUUGUACAUGAUAUUCUCUUGUUAGCUCAUAGGCUUAGUGAUAACAUCAGAAGACAGCUCAUAGCU